rnacentral:rRNA from 1 species
UGGGGAAUAUUGGACAAUGGGCGAAAGCCUGAUCCAGCAAUACCGCGUGUGUGAAGAAGGCCUUAGGGUUGUAAAGCACUUUCAAUUGGGAGGAAAACCUGCCGGUCAAUACCCGGUAGCUUGACAUUACCUUUAGAAGAAGCACCGGCUAACUACGUGCCAGCAGCCGCGGUAAUACGUAGGGUGCGAGCGUUAAUCGGAAUUACUGGGCGUAAAGCGUGCGCAGGCUGUUUUGUAAGUCAGAUGUGAAAUCCCUGAGCUCAACUUAGGAACUGCGUUUGAAACUACAAGACUAGAGUACUGGAGAGGGAAACGGAAUUCACGGUGUAGCAGUGAAAUGCGUAGAUAUCGUGAGGAACACCAGAGGCGAAGGCGGUUUCCUGGACAGUUACUGACGCUCAGGCACGAAAGCGUGGGGAGCAAAAGGG